GUUCAGUCUUCAUGUAUGACCCUCACUUGGUCUCUGAGGAAGCAGCGGCUGCACGAGAGCCAGACUUACGUGGUGGAAUUCGUCUUAUAGCUCACAUCACUGAGUAAACAAAACUGCUCACUAGCCCCCUCUGGAGGCAGAAUGAUGAGGCGGCUGGCGGUGGGCAGACUGACCCAGGCAGGACUGAGCCUCCUGGGGCAAAAUGUGAGUGGACAGUGGGGGUGCGGAGGUCGGCGGAUGGUACAUCACUGCUCGGCACUGGUCUACAGGGAGCACACGGCCAACAUCGCCGCUGUGAGAUUAGAACAGCUGCCCCUGCCUGCUCUGAGCAGACGCAGCGUCAGAGUGAGGAUGCUGGCAGCGCCGGUCAACCCUGCAGACCUCAACAUGGUUCAGGGAAUGUACCCCAUCCUGUGCCCCCUGCCUGCUGUGGGUGGGAACGAGGGGGUAGGGGAAGUGCUGGAGGUGGGUGAUGAUGUCCACACAGUGAGACCAGGUGACUGGGUGGUGCCCGUGGACACAGGAUUUGGCACAUGGAGAACAGAGGCAGUGUGUGAGGAGGAUGAUCUGAUCACUGUCCCCAAAGAUAUUUCUGUGCUCGGAGCCGCCACGAUCGCAGUAAACCCCUGCACUGCUUUCAGGAUGCUGCAUGACUUCCAAGCACUAAGACCAGGCUGUACAGUGAUCCAGAACGGAGCGAACAGUGCUGUUGGUCAGGCAGUGAUCCAGAUAGCUGCUGCAAUGGGAAUCAGAACCAUCAACAUCAUCAGAGACAGGUAUGCUGGCGUCCAAUCAGAACACACCACGUCAUCAGAGACAGAUAUGCUGGCGUCCAAUCAGAACACACCACAUCAUCAGAGACAGAUAUGCUGGCGUCCAAUCAGAACACACCACGUCAUCAGAGACAGGUAUGCUGGCGUCCAAUCAGAACACACCACAUCAUCAGAGACAGGUAUGCUGGCGUCCAAUCAGAACACACCACAUCAUCAGAGACAGGUAUGCUGGCGUCCGAUCAGAACACACCAUAUCAUCAGAGACAGGUAUGCUGGCGUCCAAUCAGAACACACCACGUCAUCAGAGACAGGUAUGCUGGCGUCCAAUCAGAACACACCACAUCAUCAGAGACAGGUAUGCUGGCGUCCAAUCAGAACACACCACAUCAUCAGAGACAGGUAUGCUGGCGUCCGAUCAGAACACACCAUAUCAUCAGAGACAGGUAUGCUGGCGUCCAAUCAGAACACACCACGUCAUCAGAGACAGGUAUGCUGGCGUCCAAUCAGAACACACCACAUCAUCAGAGACAGGUAUGCUGGCGUCCAAUCAGAACACACCACAUCAUCAGAGACAGGUAUGCUGGCGUCCGAUCAGAACACACCAUAUCAUCAGAGACAGGUAUGCUGGCGUCCAAUCAGAACACACCACGUCAUCAGAGACAGGUAUGCUGGCGUCCAAUCAGAACACACCACAUCAUCAGAGACAGGUAUGCUGGCGUCCAAUCAGAACACACCACGUCAUCAGAGACAGGUAUGCUGGCGUCCGAUCAGAACACACCAUAUCAUCAGAGACAGAUAUGCUGGCGUCCAAUCAGAACACACCACAUCAUCAGAGACAGGUAUGCUGGCGUCCAAUCAGAACACACCACAUCAUCAGAGACAGAUAUGCUGGCGUCCAAUCAGAACACACCACAUCAUCAGAGACAGGUAUGCUGGCGUCCGAUCAGAACACACCAUAUCAUCAGAGACAGAUAUGCUGGCGUCCAAUCAGAACACACCACAUCAUCAGAGACAGGUAUGCUGGCGUCCGAUCAGAACACACCAUAUCAUCAGAGACAGAUAUGCUGGCGUCCAAUCAGAACACACCACAUCAUCAGAGACAGGUAUGCUGGCGUCCAAUCAGAACACACCACGUCAUCAGAGACAGGUACACUAUCACCCAAUCAGAACACACCACGUCACCAGAUUGACAGACAGCCUGUGCUCCUCUAGACGCUCUAAUGUCUGUGAUCCUCAGGCCAAAUCGAGCUGCUGUGGUGAAAGAGCUGCAGACUCUGGGAGCUGAUUAUGUCCUCACAGAGGAGGAAGUGAUGUCAUCAGGACUUCAGCACGUCUUCCAGGAGGCUCCUAAACCCAAACUGGGGCUGAACUGUGUAGGAGGGGUCAGCGGGGGUCUCGUGCUGUCCAGUUUAGACUAUGCAGGCACGCUGGUGACGUAUGGAGGCAUGGCCAAGAAACCUCUGCACAUCCCAGCA